CAGAGAUGACACUUAGGUCAUGGCUUUGGCUAGAAAAAGGAGAGUGGUUCAAAACACAAAGAAGAUGGGUUUCCUCUCAAAAUUAUUAUAAGAAGAAUUAUGAAAUUCACACAUUACAAGUUGAUAUGGUCUUUUCAAACCAUGCCAAAUCAAUCAACGCCAGUUGCUUGGAAGAAGAGUUAGUAGCCUUGGAAGUUUGAAGAUAGGACAACAUUCAGGACAUGUACAGGACCCCCGUCUAAAUGUCGAGGUCAUAGUGAGGAACUUCAUAGUUUGCUCUUUGUCACAAAAGUUUGUGCAUCAAACAGCCUUCUAACAACAAAUGCUGAUUAUGAAAAGAAUCGCUGUACUAGAUGCUGCCUACAAGACUUCAAGGUAUGAUGUACAGUGACUUCAGCUAUGUGUGUUUACCAGUUGUGGAUGAGAACAACAGAUUUGUCUAUUCUUCAAUACUUGAGCUAGAAAUAAGUAAGAACACUGUAGGUACUUUUUAAGCAAAGUUUUAUGGAAGAAGAGUUUUACCAUUGUUAUACCUUUACAUAUGCUUUACAGGCAGUUUAUCCUGCAGUCUUUUAUGUUAAGCUCACCUGAACACAAAGUGCACAAGGUCAGCUAUUGUGAUCCUCCUGUGUUCGGCUUCUGGCAUGAUAUGUGGUCCAGUGUCAACAAUUUGAGUGUUAACACUCUUAAGAGGUCACAAAUUUGGCAAAAUCUUAAUGAAACUUCGUCAGAAUUUUACCUUCGAUAAAAUCUUGUAUAAUUUCAUAGUCAUCUUGGUCAAAUACUAGGUCACUGGGCCAAUAAUAGUAAAAAGCUUAAUACUCUAGAGGCCAUAUUUUCUACCUUGUCAAAUAAUAUAAAAGUCUU